ensembl:lncRNA
CCGGGUGCCCGUGCGCACGCCGCCCCCUCUCCAGCCUCCCGGGUGCCAGGGCGCACGCCGCCCCCCUCUCCAGCUGUGGUCAUGCCGGUGCGCACGUCGCCCUCUCUCCAGCAGUGGUCCUGCCCGUGCGCACGCCGCCCCCUCUCCAGCCUCCCGGGUGCCCGUGCGCACGCCGCCCCUUCUCCAGCCGUGGUUGUGCGGGUGCGCACGCCGCCCCCUCUGCAGCCUCCCGGGUGCCCGUGCGCACGCCACCCCCUCUCCAGCCUCCCGGGUGCCAGGGCGCACGCCGCCCCCUCUCCAGCUGUGGUCAUGCCGGUGCGCACGUCGCCCUCUCUCCAGCAGUGGUCCUGCCCGUGCGCACGCCGCCCCCUCUCCAGGCUCCCGGGUGCCCGUGCGCACGCCGCCCCUUCUCCAGCCUCCCCCGUGCGCACGUCGCCCCUUCUCCAGCCGUGGUUGUGCGGGUGCGCACGCCGCCCCCUCUCCAGCCUCCCGGGUGCCCGUGCGCACGCCGCCCCCUCUCCAGCCGUGGUCCUGCCCGUGCGCACCCCGCCCCCUCUCCAGCUGUGGUUGUGCCGGUGCGCACGCCGCCCCCUCUCCAGCCUCCCGGCUGCCCGUGCGCACGUCGCCCCCUCUCCGGCCGCGGUCCUGCCCGUGCGCACGCCGUCCCCUCUCCAGCUGUCACCUCCUCUCCUUGAAGAGAUUUACUGAGGAUGCAGAUCCGUUCCAGGGAGGACGCCAUAGACGCGAUCAAGUUGAACAAAAAACAGUCUCCACUUGAGCAGUUAAUAACUCGUUGGAACUAACGAGUUAAUUGGGGCUGGGACAAAAAACUAUAACAUCAGGAUUGAACAGCUUGUUAAAGAAACACCACCCCCUUGCAGCCAGACGCCAAUGUUUACGCAGUGAACCAUGUCUCUCGCAAGGAUGGAGUUCUGUCUAUGCCUCUCGGGAAGUCCCUGCUCCAUGGAGGGAAUCACGGUGUGUGUCCUCCGUAUGCAGAGAUGCGUCCUGUCAUUGUAAAGCUGUGGGAAGUGUCCAGAAGCAGGGAGCUGCCGCCCCGGCCCUUAAAGAAGAGGUGGGUGUCCCGGGAAGAGGGAGGGUGGGCAUUUGGGGGCUCCCCACAGAUUGUGGGUGUUUGCUCACAGAAGCAGUCGCGGCACUGACCCGGGGGAAGGCCCAUGUGGAAGCCACACUGGGAAUCACCGCCGGGGCCCGUCCCCCCUGAAGUGUCCCGGCAGCCUGUCCCCGAGGGCCCCAUAAAGUCAGCCGGUAUGGCACGUAUGAAAAUAGCAAGUCUCGUGUGGUUUUUAGGAGAACUGCAAAGAAAUGUGUUUCUCUUAAUCACCCACAAAUUAAAACCCAAGGAGCCAAUUUGUUAUCUGAUGAAGAAAGAGCUACAGCUGCUGGGUGUUGGAGGGUCCCUUUAGAGGAAGCCUGAUCUGGACAUGCUCUGUCUCUCCGUGUGUCUAUCUCUCUGUCUCUGUCUCUCUCUAUCUCUGCAUCUGUGUCUCUCUGUCUGUCUCUGUCUCUCCAUGUGUGUGUCUGUCUCUCCAUGUGUCUUUCUGUGCCGUAUCUCUCCUACCCUCCUUUCCUCCCUCCCUCAGGGUCCUGGGUGCUGGCAUGGAGUUUACUCUGCCCUGGACGUUGGGAGUAGCUGAGUGAGGUGUCUCUCCAGUGAAUUCCAGGGGGCAGGAGCAGGUGUCCGAGC